rfam:Picea glauca, whole genome shotgun sequence.
GGGUGCGAUCAUACCAGCGUUAAUGCACCGAAUCCCAUUGGAACUCCGCAACUAAGCACGCUUGGGCUAGAGUAGUAUUGGGAUGCAUGACCUCUCGGGAAGUCCUAGUGUUGCACCCU